ensembl:lncRNA
UGUAUCCCCAUUUCCUGUUGUCUGAAGCCUGCUUACAUGGUUUAAAACCUAGUAAUUCAUCCAUCGUGGGGGAUGCUCAGUGCUGUCCUGAGGGAGUGAACAUGAACCAACUUGCUUCCAGUCUUUGAGGGUUUUUCCCCCAUGCCCUGUUUGAUUCUCAGUCAGCGUUGCCAACUUCUUGCCAUGCCAAAAGAUGGUUUCCUUACCCCCAUACUGCAAGCACCCUCCUGGCUGGGAGCAGGCAACCCUCCAAGCUGUUUCCUUCUCAUUUUGGCAAACCUUCUGACACGAGUUGGAGCAAAUGACAUGUGAUGACAUGAACCUCUGCUUUUCUCUCCAUUGUAACUAUCUCAGCCACUGGAAACCUCACAGCUCUCUGGUGGGUCCUGAUGAGCGUUGCCACCUCAGCCUGCAUUGCUCUCCAUGAACAUUUAUUGUGACACAAAGGGAAUCUGAGUUUGCAGUUCAGGUCUUAGCAUGCCCAGCAGGACUUAAAGUCUGGGUUGAAAUGUUAACUCCAAGGCCAAGAGAGUAGGAAUAGGACUCAAAUUUUCCAUAUCUCCCUUGUGUAUCUUGGCAGAGCCUUCAUUGCUUUACAUCCAUUGGGAAGAACUGAUCCAGUUAUCUCCCAAAUUGCAUUUCAGGAGCUGGCAAGCCUGACUUCACAGAUACACUGGAGAGCACCCCAACUGAUGUAAAUGCAGGACACAGCUUUUUCUGCUUCAUUUGGCAGUAGAUGAUGAUUACUCAAUUUUGCUACAACAUUGAUUGCUACCAGAGGGAUCAGCGUGCUUUGCCAUCAUUUCCAAUAUUCAGUUGUUAUGUAGCGAUUGUUGUUGUCUAUUAUUUUAUGUUAGGGCAGCAAUUAGUACUCUCAGAGAUUGAUGCCUCUCAUCAGCACGCAAAAGACAGUUUCUCUUCCAUGUUUCUCACAGACUAAACAUAAGACAAGAGACAACAGAUAAAUCCAUCAAGCAGCCCAGAUACUGGAGAAAUGAUUAUUGAUGCAAUGAGUCACAGAAGUGCCUUAUUAUAAUUUCUGCAGGCUCUUUCUUUCUGGCUGCAGAAGACAGAAGCCCUUCGUUUGAUUUUCUUUCAUUUGGAGUAUAACAUGCUCCCUCUCCAUCAGAUCUGCACUCUCAUUAUAUCUCAACAUCUGAUUCAAGAUUGGUGAAUGUAGUAAUGCAUCCCUCCCUGGAAAGGAGAUACAUUUUUAUAAAACAGCAAAAUCAGUAUUUUUCAGGACAACACUGACUACCCAAUUUCUAUUUAGUGGAAGUAUUUGGGUAGAUAUAAAGCCUACAUAACCCUGGACAGCGAUGUACUCUACUUGGUUGAAGGCAUACUCCUUUAGUAUUUUCAGAUGUCUCCAUUUUACUGUCAUCAUGAACUCUGCAGGCUUGGAUAACUCUGCUAGCACCCUCACAGUGCUGCAGAGGUCCUUAGGGAUAGGCUGCCGAAGAACCUUGAUGUAAUGAGCAUAAAGCAGUCCCACGCCAUGCCCUGGGCACUUUGAAGCCUGGAGCUAUUGCUGACCCUUUUUAGUGCUGAGAAUCUGCUUCUCCAGCCUACAGCCUCGAUGGUAGAGGACUGCAGGUCCCUGUUUGUGCACGGGUUGGGCAGAGGCAGGAGCUUCAUCCUCUGGGAUACACAGUUGACUUACUUCUCAUCACUGAACUCCAAAGAAUUCCAUCACUCUCAUCCUGCUGCAUCCUGACCACCUAAAAAAUGGCUUUCCAUGGGAAGGAGGUUCGUGUAAGGACUUCUGUAACACAGGAACCAGGUUGGUCCUCUCACUGGACCCUCACACCCGCAUUCUUGACUACCAUGGAGCUCUGAAGACUUCAAAGUGUGCCCAGCACUUUUCCUGAACUCCCUGCCAUGUCUAAUUUUUGACCCUUCCUCUGAGAAAUGAGUCCACUAGCGAAGAGAAGAUAAUUCUGCUCAUUUGGUCUCUUGAGAUUCCCACUAAGGGGAAGAAUAACAAUCCAGCAACAGCUUCACUGAUCUGCAUAGAAAAUUCAGGCUGCUUUUUUUUGCUGACCCUACUGGCUUGCCAUAUACAGCUGUAAAACUUUAUGCUAGUAAUCCAAAAAGGCAGCUGGAAUUUUCAGUCACAGGCUGUCAAAUGUCAUGUUCAUACCACAUUGGAUUAAAUGAUAAUAGGAGAAUAAUUCUUUUAGUAAAAUAUUUAAGACAUAUUGAAGUAUAAGCUUUGUGAAACAAAUUCAUAGGAAUUUUACAGCUUCAGAGCAAAAGUAGAUAAUGAAUUUUAGAACAGAGGUUUUUUUUGUUUUGUUUUGUUUUGUUUUAAAAAAAGGUCAAUAUUGAUAGUUCAGCAGAUGUGUCCUAGUAGUGUUGCACAUGGCUCAGCUCCUAGUGAAAGACCACCAGGUCAUUCAUUUGGACAAUGAGCACACUAAACAUCUGCUAUGUCAUUAUGUCCCCUGCUGUUGUGCAUCACUCACCUUUCUCUCUUCUGUAUAGCUGUAGCCUGUGCAUGAAUAUGGAGUGAAAAGCAUAAUUUAGAUUACUGUGCCCAGCGUCUUUUACUGCAUUUGACCAUUCAAUAGUUGUUCAGCCACAAAGGAGCCACAAAAACUUGCCAACUCCCUGUAACAAUUUGCAGAUCGAUAGCACACUGUUACACAUCAAAGCGACAGCUGACUGGUCAAGUGCUUUACUACUGAUUUGUAUUUUCUAACACAAGAGCAUUUAUGCUCUUAGCUAUCAUAACAAGGUAGGUAGAUGACAUUCAACCAUCCUGACUGAUAUAAUUUUGAGGAAAAUCAAACCCUCUGCAAACCCAGAUGUGUCAGGUAUACACAGAUCUUCUAUAUAGACCUUGAAGGCACCUCAGUGAUUUGUGUUUCAACAGAAGCACCAAUGUAGCUUGUCCAGGCUCUAGCUGCGACUUACCUCUGAUGCUUCAGGUGGGAGCUAAACAAAUCAGAGUUCAAGUUUCUCUGAAGAAGGGAAAUAAAAAGUCUGUAUUUCUUGGCCUAAAAGUCCAAGAAAAGCUUGAGGCAUGAAAUUAUACAGUUGAGGAAUAAAUGAACACAACAGACAAGCCUAACCUCCUUCUUCUGGAGACCAAUGACAAAAGUGCUCAUCACAAGCUUAAACUCCUGAUACCAGGGCUUCAUCCUUAGCCAGGUCCCAGGUACAUAGAGCUGCAAAUCUCUAUUUUACAUCUGAUCAGCAUCUCUGUCUCCCCUGGUCAGCCGAGACUUCAGCUCACCCCUGUUCAUUGAUUUGAAAAUAUACUCCGUAGUCUAUGAGUUUGCUUUGCAUUUUGUUUAUUAUAAUCUUAAGCAGAAGGAAUUUUGCUAGUUGUAUAAAAGUCACAGAACAUCUAUCUGGUGUAUGGGUGCAAGAGAGAUAGGAGGUUCUUUCUUAAGGUUUUUGAAAAUGUUCCUUGUUCCUGACAGGGAGCACAUACCUGGAUGGUUAAAUUACAUGGCAAAAGGCUGUCAUCUGUUUUAGUGAUCAUCUUCCAAAAAUGUAGGCAUGUUUGCAUUGGGAGAUCUCAGACACAGCUUAGCUGGUAGAAGAUAGCCCCUAUCCUCAAGCAUGCAUGUUAAACUCUGUGCAGCUGUUGAGAUUUCCCACACACAAUGAGCAAAGUUGGAUGCGGUGCUCCGAAACAUCUUUCCCUCCUUUGGAAUCAGAACACGUGAGGCACUUCUGACCUGAGGGACCCACAUCCCUAAUCAGGCUGAGAAACAGUUGCAUCCAUUGGCCAUAAGCAUCAUUUUGAU